CACGUAGGGCGCAAGCGUUGUCCGGAAUUAUUGGGCGUAAAGAGCUCGUAGGUGGUUUGUUACGUCUGCUGUGAAAACCUAGGGCUCAACCCUGGAAUGCCGGUGGAAACUGUCGAGCUAGAGUCCGGAAGAGGCGAGUGGAAUUCCUGGUGUAGCGGUGAAAUGCGCAGAUAUCAGGAGGAACACCAAUGGCGAAGGCAGCUCGCUGGGACGGUACUGACGCUGAGACGCGAAAGCGUGGGUAGCAAACAGG
rnacentral:rRNA from 1 species